GACACGGUGACAAAAAUGGCAUCAUCCGGAGCGAAAAUGGGCUCCUCGGCGGCUAAGUUACUGCUGAUUUUCAGUCUUUUUCUUGAAGUAAAAGCCAAACUGUAUGAUCCUCCUGGUGAUGUUGCUGUGCUCAAUCAUCAGAAUUUUGUCAAUGACGUUUUCAACUCGGAAAAAAUGUGGUUUGUUGAGUUUUACUCGAGCUGGUGCGGGCAUUGUAUCCAUUUUGAGCCUACGUGGAAGUCUUUUGCGGGGGAUCUGCGGGAUUGGAAGCAUGUAGUCAUUGUAGCUGCAAUAGACUGUGCAGAUAAGACAAAUACUGAAGUAUGCAGAAAACAUGAUGUCCAUGGUUAUCCUUCACUAAAGAACUUCCCUCCAUAUACAAAAGCUGAUAAUAUGACAGGAGCCAAGCUAUUUAGAGGUAAGUUUCAGGGUAAAUUGCCAAUCCAUCUAUUGCCAAAUCGUCUAUUGCCAAAUCGUCUACUCAUCACAUGGUCUAACUUCAUUUAGUCUAAUGCCAUUCUCUCCAUUGUUGGGGCCGAAGUCGGCCGCAACCAUUCACUCAUCAAGGGCGACAAGAGGACAGAUGAGAGAGGGACAGGCAGAUGAGUUGUGUAGUGUUUAAUAUAAACAGUAGUAAAAACGGGAAAACGGGAAAAACCCCUGCAUUGUACAGAAGACAAAAGAAAACAUCAUAAGUAAAAAAUAACAUAAAUUGUUACAAGUUGUAUCAUCAGUUAUCAGACUUCUGUACAAAGUAGUUUAAUUAAAGUAAAUUGACAUGGAAUAUCAAUUGUAGCUAUUUAACCAAACAAUGUAGAAAUUAUUAUCAUAUAAUAUUAUAAAUUGUCGUAAUACAGUAUUCAUUAUCAAAUAUUAUAAUUUCAUCUUCCGGAAAGGAAAAACACCUGAAAUUAUGACAUCAAAGUAAUUCUGACUCGGAUUGUCAUAUGUUAGAAUUUAGCGUAAAUCACUAGGUUAAAUAACUCACCCUAGUAUAAUAAGGUCCCAGGAAUAUAUGUCUCCUGGUCAGCUGCGCCCAUGGUCAGCAGCCAUGAACAAUCAACAGCCUCUAUAUCAGCGGCUAUAAAAAGGAAUAGAUCCGUUAUCUACUAUGUAUUUCAACAUAUAAAUCGUUACUUCAAGAACCCAACAAAUAAUUUCGCAAGACCGAAGCGGGUCUGAUAUUUAAGACUAAGCAUCAAUCUAAAUAUUGUAAGCAAAGAUCGCAAAGAGUACGCUUACGUACAUAGUUAAACAUUCCAUCGUUUGGUGAAUGACUUUAAACAUGUCAUAUAAAAAAUGCAAAGUGAUUAAAUAUCAUCACUGUCAACCACAUAAGCUGCAUGAAAUAUUAAGCAGUUUAUAUCGUGGUACAUAGUAAAUAUUAAGGUGUGUUCAAAGAUUCAAAAGUUAUAAGCUGGAUAUACAUAAUGACACAAUUCAAAAUGUAAAAUGGUGUGUUUUCUAACACUACUUUGUCCGGCUAGAAAUGAACAAUCCCAUAGAAUUAAGAAUAUUUUCUGGGUAACGAGAUCUUAUAAAUUCCAGCAAAGUAAAACAUACAUCAGAUAAAAUUCAAUUAACAUACCUGGUAAAUAACAACUGCAAACCUACAGUCAAAAGCUAAUGUGCAGCUUCUAAAAUGGUCAACAAGCCGCGACGACUUCGUUUUGAGUUGUGCGCGGGAUAAUGUCACUGCCCAGCUACCGGGCCUUGCCUAAUAUAUCUCCGCAUUUAUGACGUCACACUUUAAUGCAUCAAAAUAUGAUAUGCUAUAGUGAAUAUUAAUUUAAAUCGAUAUUCAUGUGUAAUAUAUAUGUGCAUAUUUAUAUUCAUGCAUCUAUGUCCAACAAUUGUAUCAUAAUACAUGUUUUUUAAAAUAAUAAAGGGGAGGACUAUUUUUCCUCGGCGGGAUGACACUAGACCCACGUGACCAAAAAGUGAUUAGGUUUCGCGGUCUGUGAUACAAUUUAACCACACCCGAAUUGGUCGUAGGGUGGUC